rnacentral:rRNA from 1 species
UAAGGAAUAUUGGUCAAUGGACGCAAGUCUGAACCAGCCAUGCCGCGUGAAGGAUGAAGGUCCUCUGGAUUGUAAACUUCUUUUAUCUGGGACGAAAACGGGAUUUUUAUCUCAAUUGACGGUACCAGAGGAAUAAGCACCGGCUAACUCCGUGCCAGCGGCCGCGGUAAUACGGAGGGUGCGAGCGUUAUCCGGAUUUACUGGGUUUAAAGGGUGCGUAGGUGGGCUUAUACGUCAGUGGUGAAAUCUCCGAGCUUAACUUGGAAACUGCCGUUGAUACUAUAGGUCUUGAAUUAUCUGGAGGUAAGCGGAAUAUGUCAUGUAGCGGUGAAAUGCUUAGAUAUGACAUAGAACACCAAUUGCGAAGGCAGCUUACUACAUAUAAAUUGACGCUGAGGCACGAAAGCGUGGGGAUCAAACA